rnacentral:rRNA from 1 species
GAUGAACGCUGGCGGCGUGCCUAAUACAUGCAAGUCGAGCAAACAGACGAGGAGCUUGCUCCUCUGACGUUAGCGGCGGACGGGUGAGUAACACGUGGAUAACCUACCUAUAAGACUGGGGUAACUUCGGGAAACCGGAGCUAAUACCGGAUAAUAUAUUGAACCGCAUGGUUCAAUAGUGAAAGACGGUUUUGCUGUCACUUAUAGAUGGAUCCGCGCCGCAUUAGCUAGUUGGUAAGGUAACGGCUUACCAAGGCAACGAUGCGUAGCCGACCUGAGAGGGUGAUCGGCCACACUGGAACUGAGACACGGUCCAGACUCCUACGGGAGGCAGCAGUAGGGAAUCUUCCGCAAUGGGCGAAAGCCUGACGGAGCAACGCCGCGUGAAUGAUGAAGGUCUUCGGAUCGUAAAACUCUGUUAUUAGGGAAGAACAAAUGUGUAAGUAACUAUGCACGUCUUGACGGUACCUAAUCAGAAAGCCACGGCUAACUACGUG